GGUUAAUUUUUUAUAUGUAAAAAAGUAUUUGACACAAAACCUUAUCUCGCUAGAAUGACCGUUCGCUUUGAGAGGAAAGCCUCAGGCGGAGUUCUUUAAUAAUUUGAACCUAUUAAUCUGUGUGGGCACUCGUUGUUUAAUCGUAAAAAUUUAUCAAUGAACUGAGUGACCAAAUGACGCCUUUAUCUAUUAUUGAUAAGGGGGUCAGCACAGUCAAUUCAUAAUUAGUAUGUAAUCAGUAUUCAUUGAGCGAUUAUUUUAGUGAUAAAAAACUUUAAUUGAAGAGUUUGAUCAUGGCUCAGAUUGAACGCUGGCGGCAGGCCUAACACAUGCAAGUCGAGCGGAAACGACAACACUGAAUCUUUGGAGGAUGGGUUGGGUGUCGAGCGGCGGACGGGUGAGUAAUGCCUAGGAAGUUGCCCAAUAGAGGGGGAUAACCAUUGGAAACGAUGGCUAAUACCGCAUAAUCUCCUUGGAGCAAAGCAGGGGACCGAAUGGCCUUGCGCUAUUGGAUAUGCCUAGGUGAGAUUAGCUUGUUGGUGAGGUAAUGGCUCACCAAGGCGACGAUCUCUAGCUGGUCUGAGAGGAUGAACAGCCACACUGGAACUGAGACACGGUCCAGACUCCUACGGGAGGCAGCAGUGGGGAAUAUUGCACAAUGGGCGGAAGCCUGAUGCAGCCAUGUCGCGUGUGUGAAGAAGGCCUUAGGGUUGUAAAGCACUUUCAACAGUAAGGAAGGAUGUAUGCUUAAUACGUAUAUAUUUUGACGUUAGCUGUAGAAGAAGCACCGGCUAACUCCGUGCCAGCAGCCGCGGUAAUACGGAGGGUGCGAGCGUUAAUCGGAAUUACUGGGCGUAAAGCGCAUGCAGGUGGUUCGAUAAGUCAGAUGUGAAAGCCCGGGGCUUAACCUCGGAACUGCAUUUGAAACUAUAGAGCUGGAGUACUGUAGAGGGGGGUGGAAUUUCAGGUGUAGCGGUGAAAUGCGUAGAGAUCUGAAGGAAUACCGGUGGCGAAGGCGGCCCCCUGGACAGAUACUGACACUCAGAUGCGAAAGCGUGGGGAGCAAACAGGAUUAGAUACCCUGGUAGUCCACGCUGUAAACGAUGUCUACUUGGAGGUUGUGGCUUUGAGCUGUGGCUUUCGUAGCUAACGCGUUAAGUAGACCGCCUGGGGAGUACGGUCGCAAGAUUAAAACUCAAAUGAAUUGACGGGGGCCCGCACAAGCGGUGGAGCAUGUGGUUUAAUUCGAUGCAACGCGAAGAACCUUACCUACUUUUGACAUCCAAAGAAGCCAGUGGAGACAUUGGUGUGCCUUCGGGAACUUUGAGACAGGUGCUGCAUGGCUGUCGUCAGCUCGUGUUGUGAAAUGUUGGGUUAAGUCCCGCAACGAGCGCAACCCUUAUCCUUGUUUGCCAGCGAGUAGUGUCGGGAACUUCAGGGAGACUGCCGGUGAUAAACCGGAGGAAGGUGGGGACGACGUCAAGUCAUCAUGGCCCUUACAAGUAGGGCUACACACGUGCUACAAUGGCACAUACAGAGGGUUGCAAACUAGCGAUGGUAAGCGAAUCCCAAAAAGUGUGUCGUAGUCCGGAUUGGAGUCUGCAACUCGACUCCAUGAAGUCGGAAUCGCUAGUAAUCGUAGAUCAGAACGCUACGGUGAAUACGUUCCCGGGCCUUGUACACACCGCCCGUCACACCAUGGGAGUGGGCUGCAAAAGAAGUGGGUAGUUUAACUUUCGAGAGGACGCUCACCACUUUGUGGUUCAUGACUGGGGUGAAGUCGUAACAAGGUAGCCCUAGGGGAACCUGGGGCUGGAUCACCUCCUUAAACUAUAAUGCGAUAAUUAUAACGAUGAGUGCUCACACAGAUUAAUGAGGUUUUAUCAGUUGGGUCUGUAGCUCAGACGGUUAGAGCGUUCGCCUGAUAAGCGGGAGGUCGGUGGUUCAAGUCCAUUCAGA
rnacentral:rRNA from 1 species